AUUUAAUAUUUUCGCCCUUCCCUUCGUUCCUGACAAUAUGCUGUUAGCCGCGGGAUUUUGACCGUGCAAAGGUAGCAUAAUCAUUAGUUUUUUAAUUGGAAACUUGUAUGAAUGGUUGGACAAAGAAAAAGCUGUCUCUUUUAUUAAAAUUGAAAUUAACUUCUAAGUGAAAAGGCUUAUAUUUUCUACAGGGACGAUAAGACCCUAUAAAGCUUUAUAAAUUAAGUAAGUUAGAACAAAUUUUAUAGAAUAAAGGUAAAUUUAAUAUAUUUAUUUGGUUGGGGCGACAAUGGUAUAAAUUAAAUAACUGCUAUUAAAAUUAAACAAUUAUAUUUGAUUAAAAUUAUAAUUGAUCCUUAUUAUGGAUUAAAAGAUCAAGUUACUUUAGGGAUAACAGCGUAAUUUCUUUUAAGAGUUCUUAUCAAAGAAGAAGUUUGCGACCUCGAUGUUGAAUUAAAAUGUCUUUAUAGUGCAGAAGCUAUAAAAGAAGGUCUGUUCGACCUUUAAUUUUUUACGUGAUCUGAGUUCAGACCAGA
rnacentral:rRNA from 1 species